ACUCCUACGGGAGGCAGCAGUGGGGAAUCUUGCGCAAUGGGCGAAAGCCUGACGCAGCCAUGCCGCGUGAAUGAUGAAGGUCUUAGGAUUGUAAAAUUCUUUCACCGGGGACGAUAAUGACGGUACCCGGAGAAGAAGCCCCGGCUAACUUCGUGCCAGCAGCCGCGGUAAUACGAAGGGGGCUAGCGUUGCUCGGAAUUACUGGGCGUAAAGGGAGCGUAGGCGGACAUUUAAGUCAGGGGUGAAAUCCCGGGGCUCAACCUCGGAAUUGCCUUUGAUACUGGGUGUCUUGAGUAUGAGAGAGGUGUGUGGAACUCCGAGUGUAGAGGUGAAAUUCGUAGAUAUUCGGAAGAACACCAGUGGCGAGGCGACACACUGGCUCAUUACUGACGCUGAGGCUCGAAAAGCGUGGGGAGCAAACAGGAUUAGAUACCCUGGUAGCGUCGUC
rnacentral:rRNA from 1 species